rnacentral:tRNA from 1 species
GGAGAAGUGGCUCAGCAAUUAAGAGCACUGGUUGUUCUUCCAGAGAACCUGGGUUCAAAUCCCAGCACCCACA